ACAAAACACUCAGGGGUGGGCUGCCACUUCUUAUGGACCUACUCAGGUAGUGGGAGAAGUCCUACAUAAACCUUACAAAACUCAAGAAAGCUGCAUGCAAAGCCCUGCACUUUGGAAGGAAGUGUCCCCAGCAAUGACACAGGCUGGAGACUGACUGCCUGGGGAGCCGCUCUGCU